rnacentral:lncRNA from 1 species
UCUGCUCACUGUCUCCUCUGCUAGGUCCCCUUGAGGGCCAGAACCUCGCUGCACCAGUGGAUGUCACCUGAGAAGUGGUCACAGUGUUCACUGGGCAGGUUAACUUAUUCCACAAGUACUUGGACACGCAACCCUGAAGGAGGCGUGGUUCUGUCGGCCCCAGAAUAUGAGCUCGCGCAAUCCUCACGGCAUUCCUGUUGGGUACUCGCCAUCGCCUUCCCAUUUUACAGCACUUCACGCACCUGGCCUCGUGCAGCGAGAGCUCCUCUGGGCCUGGCUCCUGUCACUCAGCACGAUGAUUGUGAGUUUCCUUCCUGCGCUGCAUAGGUGAGGAGCUCGUCUCUGCUCACUACUGAGCACCGUUCACCGUGUGGACACACAGAGCUGUGCAUAUUCCUUCACCUGUUGGGAGACAUGUGGGUUGCUCCCUUUUGGAGAUACUAUGAAUGUGGCUGUCAUGAACAUUCAUGCCCAAGACAACAAAAACACCGACAACUCCAGCGAGGUCAAGCGCUGCACUUCCACAGACAUCCCCACCGCUCCUCUGGUGCGUCCUUCCACCACUGCCCUGGAGCUGUUCCAAGGCUCCUCAGCCUCCCUGCCAACUGACUGACUGCCGGACACGUUCAACCCAGAGAUCUUACAGUUCAAAAUGCCGCGUUGUGGCCACUUGUUGACGGGCGCCUUCCACCAGACGGGGAAACAGCUUUACUGUGCAGCAGGUCCUCCCUGGGAAACGGGGAGUGAGAUGAGGCUGCAGGUGAAUGGGCUGAAACCUCCCCCAGCCCCUCCCGGCCUCACCUAGCCGUGUCCUGCUGCAGGAGGUGCCUGCGGAGUUGCUUCACCGGGUCUGGAUGAGUUAACCUUGAUGCCCUUCCUCCGGCAGAGAGGGACUUCUGUGCACAACACGCCAACCAGAGGAGCCCGUCUCAUCAGAAAGGCGGGCUCUCCAGCACAGCUAGAGCAGGUGGGACAAUGAGUGAGGCAAGAGGGGCUCAGGCAGCCCAGCUGACGGAUUAACUGUGAGUGCGUGGGGUGGGAGCGGCCAGAGAGCGGAGGUGGGAAGCGAGGCUUGAGGAAGAGGGGCAGCCGGCAGCAGGGGCUGAUGUCUCUGAGAAGAGAAGCCCAUCCGUGAAAGGCCGAAACUUCAAAUAUUCAACUUGCAUACCUGGGGAUCCUUGUGUUCUUUUGCUAGCAUUUGUUUUAAGUAUGCAGGGCCCACUCCCACAUUCUCUGAACCCUGCCUGUCCUGGACGCCAGGAGCUUUGGUCUCCAUCACUGGGAGAGUGUCUCCAGGAGGUCUGCCCGUGGCGUACGUGUGCUGUCUGCCCAGCACCACCAGUUCUGGGAGCAGCACGGCCUGUUUCCUGGAAGCUACAUCCACGUGCAUUGCAUCCAUACGACUCCUGUGUGCUUUGUUCCCAGGAUUGGUUAUGGGCUUGGGCCUGACUCAAGACUGCGUGACUGCAGGGCUCAGCCUGACUGUUACUAAAGUGUGCCCCAUUCCCUGAACGUGUAGACUUGGGCAGUGAAGGAGGGGGAGCCCUCUCUCUUUUUGACUGUGGCUAGGCAAUAAAAGUCUAGGAAGCUCUCAGCAGCCAGGGAGGAAGGCAGGCGCUGGAGCGAUAGGGGCCAGUGGGGCCAGGAUGAGGGAGAAUUUCCUACAGCGCUGGUGUUCCAGUUCUGAUGAGCCUCAGGCCCACAGGCAUCAUGGCCCCCCACGCAGCUACCCUGGCUUCUGUGGCAAAGGACGAAGAUGAACCCUGGCAUGAUUUCAUUGUUUUAUUAAAUUUCAUUGUCUCCUUUUCACUUAUCUUAUUCAAGUUGGGUUUCUUUCACUUGCUAAUAAAAGUCUGAGCAGAUAGAUUACUAAAAAUGAUUUUGUUUCACCGACUUUAACUCAUUCCAGCAUUAUUUACUGAGGCACCGCUGUGUGCUAGGUGGCAUUCCAGGUGCUGCGUAUUUAUCCAGGAGCCAGCCAGAAGCCCCACCCUGUGGAGUCUGUGUCUUCACCUACAGGAAAUUGCUCAUCCCGUCAUGGAUUCACAGACACUUACUGAAUUCCUAAUAAAUAAACUCUUCAUUCAGUAGCGUUAAAUAAGUUUCUUGAAGCUAGACUGUUGAUAUUUUGAGAGAUAUUGUCCAUACUCCUGGUCACCUCUGAUUUAAGGGCAUGCAGGACCUGAGCAUUUUACCAACCUACUUAGUGCAUUAGCCAGGGUUCUCUAGAGGGACAGAACUCAUAGGAUCUAUGUAUAUAUGAAAAGGGAGUUUAUUAAGGGGAAUUGACUUACAUCAAGAGUGGUUUGCCAGGGGCUCUCGGGCCUUUGGCCACAGACUGAAGGCUGCGCUGUCGGCUUCCCGACUUUUGAGGUUUUGGGACUCCUCGGACUGAGCCACCACUGGCUUCCUUGCUCCUCGACUUGGAGGCAGACUUUCAUGGGACUUCACCUUGUGAUCCUGUGAGUCCGUUCUCCUUAAUAAACUCCCUUUCAUGUACACAUAUAUCCUAUUAGUUCUGAGGAAGAGUGGAAGUUGCACUUAACUGAGAACGUGUUUAGUCAUUUCCCAUUAUGCAAAACACUGCGGGGAUUUCUCCAGCCCUGCUAUUAUGUGGGAGAACAGGUCUCAGGUAAAAGUUCAAAAUUAUCGAAGUGAAGAAAGUAAUUCACUAAAGGGUCUGAUGAUCAAGCUUGUCAGCUGCUAAUAAGACAGCUGAGAAGAAGACUGAGCUGAAUGUUGCACGUGGAAAUGCCAAAGUCUUCACUGAUGUCAAUAAAAAUAAAAAAAAAUAAAAAAAUAAAAAUAAAAAUAAAAAAAAAUAAAAAAAUAAAAAAAAAAAACUGGUUUUGAUGCACAGGUGAGACUAAUAUCUCUAAUUGUCAAUUGUCCAUAAUUAUUGAUAAAUUAGCUUUCCCUCCGCCUUUUAAAGUCUGGAGUUUGGGCUGCUAUGCCAUUCUUAUCUAGUGCCAAUAUUUACAACACAAAGAAAUUUAGCAUGUUUUAAACAAAUAACACUACUUAUAAGUAGAAUUCAAGUCUUUGUCUAAUCCAAUGUACAAAAAAAAUUGUAUUUAUGUCCUGAGUUUCACAAUUUUUCAUCUUAAACUAUUUCAGUUUCUCAAUUUUUAAUCACUUGUUCUGGCCACAGAACCAGCCAACAAUUCACGCGCUGGACAUGUUAUUUGAAUGUAUGGUUUUCUGUUGUGUUUGGAUGGGACUUACUUUCUAUUAUUAGUCUAUUAUUUCUAAGUGAAGGACAUGCUAAAAAUGCCUCCAAAACCCAUCGUAUAAUUCAUCCUCCUGGUGUCUUACUUUGUAGUCUUAGGAUUAAAGGGAGAUCAUUCUGAAACAUCGAAAUUUGCAUGUUAAAGGGGACUGCCUGAAAGGAGGAAGCGCUUUUCUCAGGAAACCAUAAUUACACAACAGAAUAAGAAAGUGGUGAUCGCAGUGGCCUGCGCCUAAACACCGCCUUCUUCAGGAUCGUAAAUUCCUAAGAAUCCAGAGCCGAAAGAGACCCUGCAGAUAGAAAAUCAAGUUCAAGCCUGUCGUUUAAACGAUGGGAACUUGAUGCACACACACAAGGAAAUUAACCGACUUUCAUAGGUUAACUUUGCCCAGUGAUGACUGAGAAUACCUAAAAUAAAUGACUUUCCAUGAGUCCUUGUAUGAAGAUUCUGGGUGACAGGGGAAAUGAAUUAGAAAUGGGUAAAUAUACAUGCACCCCAGUUACAUAGCAGCAAAAUCAGAGCUUGGAAUUCCUGCCUCUUUCCUAAUGCUGUGACUGACCUCCACUGCAAUGCUGAGUUGCACUAAUUAGUUCUCAUCCAGAUUCGCCGUCACGUUUUCUAAAGUCCCAUUCCUAAAUAUACUCUUCUAGUCACCUCAGAUGUGAAGAUUUAAGAAUAGACACUUUGUGUGAGCCGAGGUUGUGCCACUGCACUCCAGCCUGGGCGACAGAGCCAGACUCCAUCUCAAAAAAACAAAAAAGAAUAGACACUUUGUAUGUCUUUAUUAAUCACAAUUUGGGGAAUAUGCAACGCAUAUAGAAUGAAGAGUAUCCGCAAAUGGUUAAAUGCCACAAGUACACUUUAAAAAUAAAAUCAGAACCCGGGUCAGGCAUGGUGGCUCAUGCCUGUAAUCCCAGCACUUUGAGAGGCCAAGGCAGGUGGAUCACCUGAGGUCAGGAGUUUGAGACCAGCCUGACCAACACGGUGAAACCCCAUCUCGACUAAAAAAUACAAAAAUUAGCAGGCGUGGUGGUGGGUGCCUGUAAUCCCAGCUACUCGGGAGGCUGAGGCAGGAGAAUCACUUGAACCCAGGAGGCGGAGGUUGCAGUGAGCCAAGAUCAUGCCAUUGCACUCCAGCCUGGGCAACAGAGCAAGAUUCUGCCUCAAAAAAAAAAAAAAAAAAAUCAGAACACACUGGAGGACGUUAGUAAACCCAGCUGUCAGAAAAUGUUUAAAUAUAGGGCAAGUAAGCAAAGUCCUCAUCUAUCAAUCUCUGUUUUCAGACUCUUCAUCUUAGUGCACUCUGGCUGCCAAAACAAAAUAGCAUAAACUGGACUGCAUAUAAAUAGCAUAAAUAAAUUUCUCACGAUGUGAGAGGCUGGGAAGUCCAACACACCAGCGAUUUCAUGUUCCAGUUCAUAAACAGCAUCUUCCCACUGCAUCCCCACAUGGUGGAAGGUGCAGAGCAGCUCUCUGGGGCCUCUUUCAUGAGGCCAUUCAUCCCAUUCAUGAGGGCUCCACCCUCCUGAUCUAAUCCCCUUCCAACCCAUGUCCUACUACCAUCCCUUUGAGGGUUAGGAUUUUAACAUGAAUUUAGGGGCAAUACAGGUAUUUGGACCAUAGCAGAUAUUUACUACAAUAAUAGCCUUUUAACCACAUCUUCAUAUAACACAAUAGAUCAAAUGAUCAAAAAAUUAGUGUUAUUCAUAUAAAAAUAUACAUACAUUCUAAUCAUGAAUAAGCAAAAAAAAAAAAAAAAAAAAAGCUGAAAUUCUGUCAUAAAACAACAGGAAUGUAUUCCCCCACAGUUCUGGAGGCCCGAGGUCUGAGGUCAGGUGUAAGGGCCGCCUUCCCUCUGAAGGCUCUGAGGGAGGACCUGUCCUUCCUCCCCAGCUCCAGGCAGUACCUGCGUUCCUUCGUUAGUGACAGCCUCGCUCCCACCUCUGCCUCUGUCAGCGCGUGGUGUCCUAAGCUAUGUGUGUGUAUGUGCCACAUUUCCCCCUUUGUGUGAAGACACCAGCCAUUGCCUUGGGGCCCAUCCAAAUCCAGGAUGACCUCAUCUUGGUUAAUUACACCUAUUUCCAAAUAAGGUAACAUUCAGAGGUUCCAGGUGAACAUGGAUUUUUGGAGGCCACCUUUCAGCCCAGCACAUGAACAUUCUACAAAAUAACUGGCCAGUAGCCCUCAAAAACCUGAAGAUCUUAAAAAAGAAAGAUUCAGACACUGUCACAAAUAAGAACAGGGGUCCCCAAUCCCUGGUCCGUGGCCUGUUAGAAAUCAGGCCACACAGCAAGAGUUGAGUGGCAGGCCAAGGAGCAUUACCACCUGAGCUCUGCCUCCCAUCAGAUCAGUGGCAGCAUUCGAUUCUCAUAGGAGGCCAGACCCUAUUGUGAGGGACCUAGGUCAUGCACUCCUUAUGAGAACCUAAUGCCUGAUGAUCUGAGGUGGAACAGUUUCAUCCUGGAAACAUCCCCCAGACCCCCAUCCAUGGAAAAAUUGUCUUCCACAAAACCUGUCCCUGGUGCCAAAAUGGUUGGGGACCACUGGAUUAGAAGACAGAAAAAGACAAGGCAACUCAUUCACCUAAUCCUAAGCCGGAUGUUGCCCCAGAAAAGGCCAUUAGUAGGACAACUGAAGGGAUCUGAGUAAGGUCUGUGGAGGGCUUCAUAGCAGGUGCCAAAGUGAGUUCCUUGGUUUCCAUGUUGUACAACAGUUAGGUAUGUCCUUCAUAUUAGAAAGCUGGGUCACCAGUAUACCAGAAAUCUCUGUACUAUUUUCACAGCUUUUCUGUAUGUCCAAAAUAUAUUUUAAACAAAAUGUUUAAACAUUAGUAUGACUAAAGAAGAUGGACACUGCACAGCUAAGACGUUUUAAUGUAAUAGAAUGUAAAGAACCUUGCAUUCCACAAUUUGAAAGCACACAUUCUUUCCCUGCACACUAAGAACGGUUAUAAAAACCACCUGCAAAGCAGACCACAAAGCAAUUCUCAACAAAUACCCAAGAAUUGGGAUCAAAUGAAGCACAUCCACCAUGAGGCUAUAAAAUUAGAAAAUUAUGACAAAAAGAUAACUACAGCCUGCCCUAUGUACAUGUGGACAUCACACAUAUAAACACAUACUUUUACACACACACAAAAUCAGGGCCAAAGAAAAAGCCAAAAAGAAAAUGAUUAUUUUAAGUGAGCAGAAAUGAAAUCCAUGUGGGAUAAUGCAAGGAUGGAAAGAGACUCGUAGUCAUCAAUACAUAUGUCAGGAAAAAAGAUGGGCACUGAGCUUCAAAAGAAGAAGCUAAGUGAGCAAUCAGUAAAAUUAGUAAUGAAUAAAGAAGCCCCAGAGAACAAGGGAGACAGAAGCUACAGUGUUCACUGCAGCAGACUCUUUAGCAUUCAAAAGUGGAAAAACCCUGACUGUCCAUAGCAGAGGAAGACAGACGCUAGGGUUUAUCCACGUAAUAGCAUACACGACAGCUGUCAUGAUGGGUGAGCUGGAGCUACCUGUGCAUAGCAGCUACAUCUCAAAAGCAAAAUGUGAAACAAAAAGCAAGUGACAUAAAGGCACAUAUAGGCUAAUGCAAUUUAUGUGUUUUAAACACACAGAAUACCUGGAAAGCACAAAGUAUGGGAUAUUUUUAGAAGCAAACAAGUAUCAUACAAGUGCAAAAGCUUGCCUGAUCAUGGUACUCACUUACUUCAGAAGAGUGAUUAUUUCUCAGAGGAGAGAAUGAGAGCAGGAAUUAAUGAGCUUCAGCUUUUUCAGUGUUGCUAUUUAUUAAAAAAAGAAAGGAAGGAAAGAAAGGAA